CACAUGGCUACUUAAUAUGCAUUGUUGACACAUCCCUGCCAACUCCUCCUCUCACCCAGCAAAACCCCCCAUUUCCCCUCCUCCUUCGACAGAGAAGAAUGGGCAAUAUCCUUGGGCAAUUUGCUCAUUUUUCUGUUCCAAAUGUUCCAAAUACCCAUAUUGUUCCAUUAGUCCUCUCCUCCAAUCAGAUGCUUCAGUUUGUUUCAAAUUGGAGAAAGAGAGCAAAAAUACACCAAUGAAGAGCCUAGCUUGUUCCAAAAGUUUUUAAGCCAAUCAUCUUCCUCUGAAAUGUUCCCAACGUCACUUCAUCAGAAAAUCUUUUUCUGUCAGCCAUUGAUGCUACUCGGUGAGUAUCUGAGGUAAUUUUGCUUAAUUUGCAACGAAUUUAAAGUCAACAACUAUAAAUGUGAUGAAAUAUGACAAUAGCAUGUCUAGUCAACCGACUUGUUUGACUACAGGGGCUUCCCAAACGGUGUAAUUUAAUAACUUUCGUAGAUCGCUAGCUACUGUAGCUGCUGCUGCACAGGCAAGUUAGCAUUGGCUAUACAUUAUUUUUCUGUCAGCCAUCGAUGCCACUCGGUGAGUAUAUGAGGUAAUUGUGCUUCAUUUAACAACGAAUGAUGACUAAAUGUGAGGAAAUAUGACAAUAACACGUCUCGCCAACCGACUUGUUUGACUACAGGGGCUACCCAAAUUGUGUAAUUUAACAACGUUCGUAUAUCGCUAGCUACUGUAGGUGGACAAAACUCACAAAGUUUAUUUGACCACUGACAAUCCUGUAAAACCUUAGCUAACCUCUAUAUCAACUAAAAGUUGGAAUUCUAUACUAUUUAAUUGUAUAUUUUCUUUUGUUUUUUAAUGGCAUGCAUUUGAAGUGUAUGUAGUUGAAUGAAUUGUAUUGAUGGUCAUUGGGGGCAAACGUGUCUUUCUAUGUAAACUGAAUUUAACUGCAUGUGAAAUAAUAAUCACCCUAAUCCUACCCAUAACCCCCUAACUUCCCACUGCUGUCCUCCUCCUAGCAGACCUAUCAAGCAAACGUAAGUUCCUUUAUAUGAAUCUAAUACGGUUAUGCUGUCACUUGUCACUGCACUCAUCAGUCAUGAUAAUAGUAUUUUUCUUGCCUCCUAAGAUGGAAAAUCCAAGGUUCCGUUUCUCGCCCUCACAGGAGUUGGUCCUCAAGGCCACACACCCCAGGCAGUAUGCAGGAGACAAGACAACUGUGUCCAAUUUGGCCUAGUGUUUAAUAUCUUAACAAUGUGGAGUAAUUAUAGUUGAUGAAUUUACCUCAGCACUUUCUGAGGAGGGCCUUGGAGGCAGGAAGGACUGCCAGGAGGGCAAGGCCCUUGUCGGCAUCGGGAAGUACAAGUGGGACUCACUACAGGACCUGUAUGAGGCUACAGGUGCGGACAGGAUAAAAUAUAUGUCAGGAGCUUGAGGGCGCAGACACCCCGUUAUCCUGGGAGUGCAAUGGCCGCCUUGAUUGGCUACAUUCAGUGCAGAGACCAGGAGGGGGUAGCUGCUGUGGCCAGGCCCGCCCCAGCCAGCACCACCCCUGCCAACACCAUCCGGCCCAAGAGUGCGGCUACGUAAGUGUAGGGACCUGACCCUGAUUGAUACAUGUUAUUUGAACGAACGCAUUCAUUUUGGGGUAAUUGCUUUUCUUUUAAUUGACUUAAGUUGUAUUGAUAUUUUAUUGUUUGGAUUGUUUAUUUUUGUAAGAUAAACAAAAUGUAUGGACUAAAAAAAAUAGAUUUAAAAAAAUAAAGAAAUCACCUUUGGGGAACCGCCUGUUCAGAACUGGGGGACACCAUGGAUGGCUACAUGUCAGGUGUGGAGGUGGGUCCUUGUGUGUUCAGAACUGGAGGCCACCAUGGACGGCUGGCUACAUGUCAGGUGUGGAGGUGGGGGCUUGUGUUUCCCAGCAUUAUUUGUUUUUUUGUGUGUUACAACUCUGUAAACAGUGUGUUUAUUGAGUAAGAAAAUGAUGACUUAUUUGCUUGUCUUCUUGUUUGUUGAACUUUAAAGAAGAGUGUAUGACAAUAAAUCAAAAUGAAUUUAAGGGAGAAAAAGUGCUCGCAUUCAAUUAUUUAUUUCACAGGGAAUGUCAUGUGUGAAACAACCCAUCCUACUGUACAAGUUAAGAUGAUUUUAAAAUAACUAAAUGUACAAGAGAUUAACAAUGAACGUCGUACUUUUUUUUUUUACAAAGAACAUACGUACAAAAACAACUUUACAAUGUACACACGAGUCAGAGUUUACUGGCCUUGGCUAGCACCAUGCUGGGUCCUCAUGAGUGCCAGUCACUCCUCCACAGUUUGGCCACCAGAGGUAGCGGCACAGAAUCUCACAGAACCAUACAUACUGUGUCCAAACUCAGAAGUUUUAGGCUUGCCACAUUUAGAGCACUUAUAGCCUUCGUAUGGCUUGUGCGCUCUGACUUUAAUGCCAGACUCCAGCUUCUUCCUCCUCCUCCAUUCGGUGGUCCUGGAAACCUUGGGUCCACCAGCAGGAGGGGGAAGAGGAGUGGAGGUCAAAGGCAGGUCUUGGAAGACUGGCGUUAUAGGGAGGGAGGUGGAAGACAGACUGGGUGGAGGUGGCAGUGGCUGACUAGUGGCCAGGAGGACCACGUGCUGGUAUCCACUAACCCCAUCAGGUCCUAUGUACUCCUGGAAAUAGAAGAGUCAUGGGGAAGGGUUGGAUUAAUAGUCACAUUAAUAGUUAUGAAUGGAAAGAAACUUGAGUGAGCUGUUUAGGACGUGGAUAGGCACUUACAUCAUCCCCUGGGUCCUGACUGGCAGCUGGUGGUGCAGUGUCAUCAGGGGGUGUGACGACAGGUACCUGGGAUGGGUUGAGUGGGCGGUGGAGUGGAGGGACUGGUGGGAGACGGUCAUCGAGGUCGGGCAAGGACAUGGUGGGGUCAUCCUCCUCUCCUCCCUCAAAUAGAUCAGGUGUCCCGUCUGGGACAUCUGGGUCCUUACCGAGGUUGGACUCGGCUCAUUGAUGGCGUGCUGGGCUACACCAUCAUAGCAGUGCAGGGUCUGAGAAAAAGGGGAGGAGAGAAAUAUGAGAGGGGAAAAGUGGCAGGAAAUAGGGGGAUAAUGGGGAAAAAU